rnacentral:rRNA from 1 species
AUUGAACGCUGGCGGCAGGCCUAACACAUGCAAGUCGAACGAGUGGCGGACGGGUGAGUAAUGUCUGGGAAACUGCCUGAUGGAGGGGGAUAACUACUGGAAACGGUAGCUAAUACCGCAUACCCUCAGUUGUGCCCAGAUGGGAUUAGUUAGUUGGUGGGGUAACGGCUCACCAAGGCGACGACCCCUAGCUGGUCUGAGAGUUUGACCGGCAACACGGGAACGGGGACACGGUCCAGACUCCUACGGGAGGAAGCAGGGGGGAAUAUUGCACAAUGGGCGAAAGCCUGAUGCAGACAUGCCGCGUGUAUGAAGAAGGCCUUCGGGUGGUAAAGUACUUUCAGCGGGGAGGCGUUACCCGCAGAAGAAGCACCGGCUAACUCCGUGCCAGCAGCCGCGGUAAUUC